CCCCCUCCCGCAUUGAAUACUGGCGGACUAGAGGCCAGAAGAGGGUAAAGGGAACUCCCUGUGUAGCGUAAAAAUGCGUAGAUAUAUGGAAGAACACCAGCGGCGAAGGCGGUUACCUGGUCUGUAACUGACGCUCAGGCACGAAAGCGUGGGGAGCAAAUAGGAUUAGAUACCCUAGUAGUCCACGCCCUAAACGAUGAGUACUAGAUGUUGGAAUUUUCAGUGUCACAGCUAACGCAAUAAGUACUCCGCCUGAGGAGUAUGCACGCAAGUGUAAAACUUAAAGGAAUUGACGGGGCCCCGCACAAGCGGUGGAGUAUGUGGUUUAAUUCGACGCAACGCGAAGAACCUUACCAGGCCUUGACAUCCCCUGCAAAACCAUAGAGAUAUGGCAGAGGUUAUCAGGGUGACAGGUGGUGCAUGGUUGUCGUCAGCUCGUGUCGUGAGAUGUUGGGUUAAGUCCCGCAACGAGCGCAACCCUUAUUGUUAGUUGCCAUCAUUAAGUUGGGCACUCUAGCGAGACUGCCCGGGUUAACCGGGAGGAAGGUGGGGAUGACGUCAAAUCAUCAUGCCCCUUAUGUCUAGGGCUACACACGUGCUACAAUGGUCGGUACAAUAAGACGCAAGCCCGCGAGGGGGAGCAAAACUGGAAAACCGAUCUCAGUUCGGAUUGUAGGCUGAAACUCGCCUACAUGAAGCUGGAGUUGCUAGUAAUCGCGAAUCAGCAUGUCGCGGUGAAUACGUUCCCGGGCCUUGUACACACCGCCCGUCAA
rnacentral:rRNA from 1 species